CACAGCAUGGCCGGGCAGAGUGGCCGGAUGGAGCCCCGCGCGGGCCGCCGCCUCUUCAGCCCUGCUGAGCUGCGGGCAGCUCGGACGCGUGACCGCAAGGUUCCUCAGCACUCACACGGACAGAAGGACUUCAUCCCCGAUAGCUCGGAAGAACAGGCAGAGAGGCUGCACCGGUGUCGGGAGGAGCACUGGCAGCUCCUGGCAGAGGAGCGCGUGGAAAGGCUGGGAAGUUUGGUGACAGCUGAAUGGAAGCCACUAGAGGGCAUCGUGGAGCUGAAAUCCCCUGCGGGGAAGUUCUGGCACACUAUGGGGUUCACAGAGCAUGGCAAACAGUGUCUGCUGCCAGAGGAAGCCCUCUAUCUACUGGAAUGCGGCUCUGUUCAGCUCUUUUACAGGGACCUGCCUUUGUCCAUACAAGAAGCCUAUGAGACCCUGCUGUCCCAAGGGACGGUGAGCCUGCCGCAGUAUCAGGUGUUCAGCCACUUGAAGAGACUGGGUUACAUUGUGCUGAGAUUCUGCCCCAGUGCUGUCCCAUCUCAAUACGAGAGGCAGCUGAACCUGGACAGUUAUUGCAAGAGCUCUGGAAAACGCCAUCACAAAAGGAAGAGAAGCUCCAGCCCCUGGUUACAAGGCAAGAAAGCGAAGGCAUCUGGGAAUCCUCCAGAAAGUGAAGGGACCCCAGAAAAGGCCAGUGACAGCUGUGGUGGUCCCAGUCACCCAGCGUCUGAGGGGAGCUGUUUGUCAGAGAAGUCAAAAGAAUCAGAUCCUGCCAGUGGAGAGGGGGAGUCAGCCCAAGUUUCCACUGAUGCAGUACAACUCGGCAAGCCCCCCAGUUUCCCACAGUCUCAGGCUGGAGACUAUGGGAAGGCUGCUGGGGACAGCUGCAGUGGCACCCACCUGCCCCGCUGGGACUUUACCAGAAUCGCCUUCCCCAACAUGGCUUCUGACUGCCCACACACCUUCCUGCCACAGCCUGACGAGAGACUGCUCCCGGAGAACGUAGCUGGGCGGGAGGCCGAUGCCACCCGCUGGCGCAAGCUGGUCAACCAGAAGCGUGAGAAGUUGUCACGGAAGGAGCGGGAGCAGCGAGAGAGGGAGAGCAGAUACAAGAGCAGUGUCAAUGCAGACAGGGAGGUGAGGCGCUGCUCCAACUGGCAGGAAUACAAGGAGCUUCUGAAGCAGAGGAGCCAGCGGAGGGCAGGGAGGCGGCCUUCGCACCUGUGGGACCAGCCUGUCACCCCACUGGUGAAGCCGUAUCAAGUGGCCUCAGCAGCUGCUGUCCUCCAGCAGAUCAGUGUGCUGCAGCCUUCCCACAUCCUGGAUGGAGCCUCCCGGCUGCAGGAGGAUAUGGAGGGCAUGAAGAUAGACUUCAGUGUGUAUCAAGCAGAUGCAGUUGCCAACUUCAAGAAGAACAACCCUGGAAAGCCUUAUGCCAGGAUGUGUGUGCGGAGGUUUGACGAGCAGAUCCCAUCCCUGCGGGCAGUGAAGCAGCUUGCCUAUCAGAGUGAGGAUGUCCCAGUGGUCUUUGCACUGGUGGACAAUGGAGACAUUGCUUUUUACUCUUUCAAGGAAUUCAAGCUGCCUGUUGAUGUUUAUCACUGAAGUUACCAUCCCUUGAAGAAAUGGCUUUGGGGCAAAGGGUGAGGGACUUUACUCAAGACUUAAUUUCCUGAUUCAUGGACUAUUAUAUCAAAUAGAAUCUCUGAUAACCAGUCUGCGUGCAGGAGGGAUAACCAUCUUAUCCACUGCUACAGGCCUCAGCCAGCUAGGAACUAGCUCAUUCGUAAAAGCAAGAUACACUUCAAACAAACAAGUAUGAUGUUCUAUGCUUUAGCUGGGCACCUCCUCACUGCAGUGCUGCUUUGUUCUUUAAGCCACUGGUUCUCCAGCUCUUAUCGUCCUAUGGACCACUUACCUAUGACAUUUUCUCAGUCCUUGUGGGCCUGUAGAACAAACUUCACUGGAGAUCCACACAUGGUAUUCUGAGAACCACUGGGCUAAGCCAGUCUGAAUACAACAUAUGAAUGGUUUAAGAACUGCUGUAGAUCAAUCAGACUCAUAAGCUAAUCAGGUCAGUCAAUGGUAUAGCAAGCCUCUGUUACUCUACUGCACCAGCACCCAUCUACUAAAAUCUUUAGCGGAGUAUUGGUGUGAUCAGGAGCGGCGCCAGGGUUUUUUUGCACCCUAGGCGCAGGGCCGACUCACCGGUCCACCAGAGCAGUCUGCCGCCCUCCCAAAUCCUGGUGCCCUAGGCUACCGCCUAGGUCGCCUAAAUGGAAGCGCCGGCCCUGGGUGUGAUAGAAGCAAAGGCAAGGCAACAGAACUCUGCUACAGAAAUGAUGAUGCUGGCUUUGCCUUGGUAUUUGUAUGCCAGCAGGAGAUCAUAGUCCUAGGCGAAUGCUCACUUUGUAAGCCAGUGGAGUCACAGAGAGCCACGAAGUCACUGCAGAGGAACAUGCUAAUGUCGUAUUAUGGUGUUUGUGUUGAGAUGUGUCAUUGCAACACAGCGGCAUCUCCUAUUAAAACUAUAGCACACAGCGUCAAGACAUCUCACCAUUACAAUAGUGUGACCCCCUGUUUCCAUUUGAUGCCCUUUCUCCUGGAUGCAGGUACAUGUUUCUCACUCUCUCUUGCAAGUGAGAGAAGCUCUGAUUAAACCUGCAACUUCUCCAUAAGCUGAGCCUGAUAGUUUUGUGGGUCUAGUGCUCCAGGCUGAGGAUCACUGUCCUAUACCAUUGACGGUAUCACCCAAUUGCCUUCCAGCUGUCGUCAGCAUGGGAACCCUCCCCCUGAAUCUCCUGAUACCAAACUUUCUUUAACUUCUAUGCAAAAAUGCCAAUGUGACUAGUGCCAGAAAGUCUUGGUCUGUGGCUAAAAGGGCCUCCUAACACUAUUGUGCUCAGAGUGCAGCUUUCUUAAGAAGUGUUACAGCAAAUGUUUUAGAUGCAUUUUAUUUGAUACAGAAUGUUUUGGUGGGGGGUUUUGGGGGUUGAAGGCUAAAGCAAUAAAAAAGCGUUUUCCAAC